GUGUUUUUUUUCAAGCAGCCAUGUGUGUUAGAUGAUGUUUGGAAAUGAGAAGAAAACCGUGGCUGUACAAAAGGAAACUACUUUCGCAAAACAAACAUUGCCGUCCAACUGUAAGAUGAGAAAAAAAUCAAAUGAUGGGGAUGUGUCUAAG
rnacentral:pre_miRNA from 1 species